rnacentral:rRNA from 1 species
GGGGGGUGCUAUGCUGCAGUCGAGCGACGCAUGCCCAGUUCGUAAGAACAGGGUAUGACGGAGCGGCGAACGGGUGAGUAACACGUGAGCAACCUGCCCCACAGACCGGGAUAGCCCAAGGAAACUUGGAUUAAUACCGGAUUCCCUCGAACAAUCGCAUGGUUGAUCGAGGAAAGGCCUUUGUGCUGUGGGAUGGGCUCGCGGCUUAUCAGCUAGUUGGCGGGGUAAAGGCCUACCAAGGCAUCGACGGGUAGCUGGUCUGAGAGGACGAUCAGCCACACUGGAACUGAGACACGGUCCAGACUCCUACGGGAGGCAGCAGCAGGGAAUCUUGCGCAAUGGGCGAAAGCCUGACGCAGCAACGCCGCGUGGGGGAUGAAGGCCUUCGGGUUGUAAACCCCUUUCAGGAGGGAAGAAAUUGACGGUACCUCCAGAAGAAGGACCGGCCAACUACGUGCCAGCAGCCGCGGUAAUACGUAGGGUCCUAGCGUUAUCCGGAAUCAUUGGGCGUAAAGAGCUCGUAGGCGGUUCAGCAAGUCGGCUGUGAAAGUCCGAGGCUUAACCUCGGAAUUGCAGUCGAUACUGCUGUGACUCGAGUCCGGUAGAGGAGAAUGGAAUUCUCGGUGUAGCGGUGAAAUGCGCAGAUAUCGAGAGGAACACCAGUAGCGAAGGCGGUUCUCUGGGCCGGCACUGACGCUGAGGAGCGAAAGCGUGGGGAGCAAACAGGAUUAGAUACCCUGGUAGUCCACGCCGUAAACGUUGGAUACUAGGUGUGGCGGUUGUACCAACGACUGCCGGUGCCGAAGCUAACGCAUUAAGGUAUCC